rnacentral:rRNA from 1 species
UACGUAUGGUGCAAGCGUUAUCCGGAUUUAUUGGGUUUAAAGGGUGCGUAGGCGGAUCGUUAAGUCAGUGGUCAAAUUGAGGGGCUCAACCCCUUCCCGCCAUUGAAACUGGCGCUCUUGAGUGGAAGAGAAGUAAGCGGAAUGCGUGGUGUAGCGGUGAAAUGCAUAGAUAUCACGCAGAACCCCGAUUGCGAAGGCAGCAUGCCGGCUUCCGACUGACGCUGAAGCACGAAAGCGUGGGGAUCGAACAGG